GUUAAGACAUCUGAUGCCCCAGCCCUUCCUCUCAGUCUUGAACAACUGUAGCCUUUGCAUCAAUGGAUGCUGGACAACUCUAUUCAGGCAGGUUGUCUUUGAACAUCGACACCUAAAGGAAAGAGAAGGUUGGUGAAUACACUCUUGGUUGUCUACACGAAAAAGGGCACACAAUAGCUGUACAUCGAGUUGUUAAUACAAAAUAUUGACAAGAACAGGCCACUGAACAGGGUCUCAACCAGAAAAAAAUCACAUGUUCUCUCUGCAAAAUCAAACACAGAAGACGAUUCACACAACAAGAAGGUGGGUUACUCACAUUUCGGAGAUUUCCUCGUACAAGUCGGUCUCCUGAUUCUUGCCGUUUAUGAGCGGCAAACAAGGGUCCUAAUCUGGUAGAGCCUCGGUAAAUCCACUCAACACGCC